CGAUGCAUGCGCAGCUAUAAUGCAGUCGAGCGAAUGGAUUAAGAGCUUGCUCUUAUGAAGUUAGCGGCGGACGGGUGAGUAACGCGUGGGUAACCUGCCCAUAAGACUGGGAUAACUCCGGGAAACCGGGGCUAAUACCGGAUAAUAUUUUGAACCGCAUGGUUCGAAAUUGAAAGGUGGCUUCGGCUGUCACUUAUGGAUGGACCCGCGUCUCAUUAGCUAGUUGGUGAGGUAACGGCUCACCAAAGCAACGAUGCGUAACCUACCUGAGAGGGUGAUCGGCCACACUGGGACUGAGACACGGCCCACACUCCUACGGGAGGCAGCAGUAAGGAAUCUUCCGCAAUGAACGAAAGUCUGACGGAGCAACGCCGCGUGAGUGAUGAAGGCUUUCGGGUCGUAAAACUCUGUUGUUAGGGAAGAACAAGUGCUAGUUGAAUAGGCUGGCACCUUGACGGUACCUAACCAGAAAGCCACGGCUAACUACGUGCCACCAGCCGCGGUAAUACGUAGGUGGCAAGCGUUAUACGGAAUUAUUGGGCGUAAAGCGCGCGCAGGUGGUUUCUUAGAUCUGAUGUGAAAGCCCACGGCUCAGCCGUGGAGGGUCAUUGUAAACUGGGAGACUUGAGUGCAGAAGAGGAGAGUGGAAUUCCAUGUGUAGCGGUGAAAUGCGUAGAGAUAUGGAGGAACACCAGUGGCGAAGGCUACUUUCUGGUCUGUAACUGACACUGAGGCGCGAAAGCGUGCGGAGCAGACAGGAUUACAUACCCUGGUAGUCCACGCCGUAUACGAUGAGUGCUAAGUGUUAGAGGGUUUCCGCCCUUUAGUGCUGAACGUUAACGCAUUAUGCACUCGGCCUGGGGGAGUACGGCCGCAAGGCUGAAACUCAAAUGGAAUUGACGGGGGGCCCGCACGAGGCGGUGGGAGCAUGUGGUUUUAAUUCGAAGCAACGCGAAUUACCUUGACAUGUCUUGACAUCCUCUGACUAGCCAUAGAGAUU
rnacentral:rRNA from 1 species